UACAGAGGGUGCAAGCGUUAAUCGGAAUUACUGGGCGUAAAGCGCGCGUAGACGGUUAUGUAAGUCAGAUGUGAAAGCCCCGGGCUUAACCUGGGAACUGCGUUUGAAACUGGGAGACUAGAGUGUGGCAGAGGGGGGUGGAAUUCCACGUGUAGCAGUGAAAUGCGUAGAUAUGUGGAGGAACACCGAUGGCGAAGGCAGCCCCCUGGGUUAACACUGACGCUCAUGCACGAAAGCGUGGGGAGCAAACAGG
rnacentral:rRNA from 1 species